rnacentral:misc_RNA from 1 species
GAAAUGCGAUAAGUAAUGUGAAUUGCAGAAUUCAGUGAAUCAUCGAAUCUUUGAACGCACAUUGCGCCCGCCAGUAUUCUGGCGGGCAUGCCUGUCCGAGCGUCAUUUCAACCAUCAAGCCCCCGGGCUUGUGUUGGGGACCUGCGGCUGCCCGCAGGCCCUGAAAACCAGUGGCGGGCUCGCUGUCACACCGAGCGUAGUAGCAAUUACCUCGCUCAGGGCGUGCUGCGGGUUCCGGCCGUUAAACAGCCUUACAAAACCCAAGGUUGACCUCGGAUCAGGUAGGAAGACCCGCUGAACUUAAGC